GAUGAACGCUAGCGGCAGGCUUAACACAUGCAAGUCGAGGGGCAGCACGUCUUCGGAUGGUGGCGACCGGCGCACGGGUGAGUAACGCGUAUGCAAUCUACCUUUUACAGGGGCAUAGCCCGGGGAAACCCGGAUUAAUAUCCUAUAGUACCAUUAUAUAGCAUUAUAUUAUGGCUAAAGUUUCGGCGGUAAAAGAUGAGCAUGCGUCCUAUUAGCUUGAUGGUAAGGUAACGGCUUACCAUGGCUAUGAUAGGUAGGGGUCCUGAGAGGGAGACCCCCCACACUGCUACUGAGACACGGACCAGACUCCUACGGGAGGCAGCAGUGAGGAAUAUUGGACAAUGGGCGCAAGCCUGAUCCAGCCAUGCCGCGUGCAGGAAGACGGCCCUAUGGGUUGUAAACUGCUUUUAUACGGGAAGAAACACCCCUUCGUGAAGGGACUUGACGGUACCGUAAUGAAUAAGGAUCGGCUAACUCCGUGCCAGCAGCCGCGGUAAUACGG
rnacentral:rRNA from 1 species